UGCCAUGGACAGCAGACUCUUCUGCUGUGUGAUCUUUGGUAUCCUGGGAGUAGGACACAUGGAAACUGGAAUCAGCCAAACUCCUAGCCACUAUAUCAGAGAGAUGGGACAGAACAUAUCUCUGAGAUGUGAGCCCAUUUCUAGUCAUUUGUACUUCUAUUGGUACCGACAGACCCUGGAAAAGGGAGUGGAGUUUUUGAUUUCUGUCUAUAACAAGGUUCCUUCAGAGAAGGCAGACUUUUUGAAGGACCGAUUCUCAGCUGAGAUGCCUGACGGAUCGCACUUCACUCUGAAGAUCCAGCCCGUACAGCUGGGAGACUCAGCUGUGUAUCUCUGUGCCAGCAGCUUAGCCACAGCCUUGCAAAGACACGUCCUGCCCUCACAUAAACUCAGCAGCUUCCCUGCUCCCCGCAGCCUCUCAGCAGCACUGCCUGCCUGA